CGUCACUUCCGUGUGCCAAGGCGGCUUUCGUCCGACUAGACGCUCGAACUUGUUAGGUUCCUACGUCUUGCCUUUGGCUUCUCCACACCACUCGCCCAACGCAGCGCCCAGUGCAGGGACAUGAAUGUUCCUGUGCCACCGCCCCCGGACGGGGUCCUUACGGGGCCCUCCGACAGCCUGGAGGCCGGCGAGCCUACGCCGGGCUUAAGCGACAGGUCUCCAGAUGAAGGACUGAUAGAGGAUUUGGCUUUGGAGGACAGAGCUGUAGAGCACCUGGUGGGAGGCCUGCUGUCCCACUACCUACCAGAUCUGCAGAGGUCCAAGCGAGCACUCCAGGAACUCACAACCAAGUUGUGUUACUAGAUACACUGGAACAAGAGAUUUCAAAAUUUAAAGAAUGCCACUCCAUGCUGGACAUCAAUGCUUUGUUCACGGAAGCGAAGCACUAUCACGCCAAGCUGGUGACCAUAAGGAAAGAGAUGUUGCUGCUCCACGAGAAAACAUCCAAGCUGAAAAAAAGAGCACUGAAGCUGCAGCAGCAGAGGCAGAAAGAGGAGCUGGAGAGAGAGCAGCAGCGAGAGAGGGAGUUUGAAAGAGAGAAGCAGCUGACAGCCAAGCCAGCCAAGAGGACGUGAGGAGCCUGCUUUCCAGUUCCUGUCCCAUCCUGCUUUCUGGAUGUCCAGUGCUGCAUACAGAGAGCGAGGCGUGGAUGGUGCCUUACGCCCUGGCAUGCCUUGAGUCUUUCCCAGGGUUGUAUGUGUCCAAGACUUCACUCAAGAAGCCUUGUUGAUACUUAUGUUUUCAACUCUUGCUUAACUUUAAAAUUUAUUAUUUUGAUCUUAAAUCACUUGUAAACUGAAAACACUGGUUAUUGUAAGAGUCUGGAUACAGUUCAAAAUGAGGCGAAGGUCUGACCGUCUUAAGAGUCAGUUUUAGUUUCAGUUUCUCCUUUUCUGAGGACAGGCCUUCCCUGCACAGCCACACUGAUUUCUGGCAACUCCUUUUUAUUGUUUAAAGAGAAACUCCAAUUGUUUGACCGUAAUUCUCCCAGAAAGAGAGCUGCCAAGCUUUUAUGAAGAACUUGUGAAGUGUAUGUCACUGGUGAGGCCAGCACCUGAGACGUAGGCUGGGAGUAGAUACAGACAGACUCUCCAGCCGUUCUCCUCUGUUUUCCAGUCUUGCUGCUGAUAGAGAUUUUGGGUUUAGGGCAGGAUUCUAUUCAUUCCUCAAGCUGUGCAGCAAUGGUGGGCCUGCCAGAUACUCAAAGGUGUGUCUGUGUCUGUCUGUGUGUCUGUGUCUGUCUGUGUGUGUGUGUUUGCAUGUGCAUGCUAAGUCAUCACUGUGUAACAAUGUCUCUGUGUUUUUUCUUUUCCUCUCUCCUUUUUUUUUCUCCUAGAGACAGGCUCUCUAUAAAGCCCUGGCUGUCCUGGUACUCACUGUGGAGACCAGGCUGGCCUCAAACAAUCCACUUGCCUCUUUCCCCAGUGCUGGGAUUAAAGGUGUGCACUGCCACACCUUGUUUGAAGUAGAACAGAGUCUGCUACUGCUCACAGCAUAUGUAAAGAACACAGAAGAGGCCCGAUUGAUGCCUUUGCUGUUUUCUAGACCUUUCCCUCUCCUGUGUAGGAACUUACUCUGUAGGCAAGAUGAAGUCUCCUUGUUGGAAAUCAAGAGUGCAGUAGUUUACUCCCCAUUUUAGUGUUUAAUAGGAAGCUCGUUUCUAGCCCCUACUUUGAGUGAGCAGCACCAAGCUACAAAGGUGUCUGAUUAGAAUGAGCAUCUUUUAUAACCCAUGGUACACUUUUAGUAGGCUGGAAUUACUACCUCUGAUCACAUACUGGGCGAUGUGGAGAUCAUUAAAGAUGACCAGUGCUAAGAACUCGUCAGCUUAAAGGCUGUUUCUUUGAAGGAGCCCUUUCCUUUUUAAUGAAUGAAUUGUGAUCUCACAGUCAUUGACUUGACUUCUGUUCAAGAAUACAAAUGAGGUUAUUUGAACGGCUGUUACCCUUUGUCACUUACUGUCACUUCUAGAGCAAAAGUCAUUAGGACUUGCAGGACAAUGCCAUUACAUUACAGAAUGUACUUAUUACAAUAAAAUAUCUGAUAUCUGGCAAAGGCUGGAGAUGGCUUUUCAUGCUGACUUCACACCAACGGUGUUAGUCAUUUCAAGUGUUCCCGGACACUUCUGGACACUUCCUCAGUCUCUUAAAGUGAAUCUGUUCUUUGUUUUGCUUAGAGUUUCUGCCCGUGAUUCUGGUGUACCUUAAAGGAUGAGACACGUCUGGGUCUGGUUGCCACUGGCGGGGUUUUCCACACUAAGUCAAAUGUCCUUUUCACCUGGGAACUUAAAGUGUAGAAUCCUCAGUUCUUACCCACUAGUUCUGAUGCCAUAGAAGAUUUAGCGUGCUCUACAUUAUUCUGAUGCAAGGGACGGUGGUAUAGACUGUCCAGGGAUUUACAUUCAUAAGCAAUGGAAUAGUUUGAAAGCUACCUAGUAAUUUGUGGAGUUAAUCUUAAGAAAUAAAUUAUUCACUACUGCUUUGGAUAGAAUCAGAUUUAAAACUGAACCUUAGCUGGCAGGAAAUGAAGAGUCUUAGUUAAUUGGACUUUUUGACUUGUAUCAAAAUAAAUCAUGUUUAAUGAAUGGAUGGGUGGCAAUGUGGCACAUAUGUUUUGAGAAUUAUAUUAAGUUCUAAAGACUUUUUAACAUAUCAAAAAGAUGGACUGGAGAGAUGGCUCAGCAGUUAAGAGCAAUGACUACUCUUUCAGAGGACCAGAGUUCUAUUCCUAGCUCCCACACAGCUCACAACCAUCUGUACCUCCAGUUCCAGAGGAUCGAGUCCCCUCAUCUGGCCUCUGCUAGCAUCAGACACAUAUGUGGUGCACCUACUCACACACAGACAAAACACUCACCCACAUAAUAGAGAAAUAAAUCUACAAAAAGAAAUAUACAUCAUUACCCACACUUUAAGGUCAGAAGUCAAUCAGAAACACCAUGGGCGAUGAAACCCUAAAAUUUUAGUUGUAUUUCAGUACCAUGGAAACACAAUAACUAGACAUACCUUUAUAACAGCCUUGCUGUGUUUUUCAACAAAUAGAAAUUGGCCGAAAGAAAAGUUGCCUUUGUUUUGAUAUAAUAUCAGAUAUGUAUGGUGCUGACACAUGGGGCGUUCAUUUUGAACUGACUUCGUCAUGAGUACCAUGUAAAUGUGCAGACGUUGAAUGUAGUGGAGAUGUGUCCACAGUGAAUUUUGGUGUAGAUUCAGUUCACCAGUACCAGUUGUAUGCCCAAACACCUUUGUCUGAUUUUGAUCUUACAAAUGAAAACUACUUUUUAUGAACUUAAUAAAAACAGCAGAUUCACCCAGUAUUGUUUAUCAGUCACCAUUCUGUACACAGCAGCGUAUAUUCCUCUUUCUGUUCAUUACUUCAGACAUUUGUUUUGCUACCUCUCCUGUUUUGUUGCUCUUUUUAAAGAUUUAUUUAUUUUAUGUAUACGAGUACACUGUAGCUGUCUUCAGACACACCAGAAGAGGGCUCAUUACAGAUGGUUGUGAGCCACCAUGUGGUUGCUGGGAAUUGAACUCAGGACCUCUGGAAGAACAGUCAGUGCUCUUAACCACUGAGCCAUCUCUCCAGUCCUGUUUUGUUGCUCUUAAUGUCCUCCAUGUAUUGAAUGUUCUUUUUUUUUUUUCCUUUUUUCUUUUUUUCGGAGCUGGGGACUGAACCCUGGGCCUUGCGCUUGCUAGGCAAGCGCUCUACCACUGAGCUAAAUCCCCAACCGUGUAUUGAAUGUUCUUUAUAUUUCAUCCCCCCACCCCCCAAAAAAAAGGCCAGGCCAGGGGCUGGAGAGUUCUCUUAACUGCCUGUGCAAAGGACCCACAUUUGGUUCCCA
ensembl:lncRNA Bloc1s6 biogenesis of lysosomal organelles complex 1 subunit 6